AGCUUUAAGAUCAUGCCAUAUUGGACUGGAGUUAUUUGCUCUUAAACUGAGUCACCCUGAGUUUAUAGUCUUAAAAAAAAAAAACUCGGACCGCCCACUGACCAAGCACACCGCCGAUGCAGAGACCCCUCCCCCAAGCCAAAGACAGACCAUGCUGGAUUGUUUAGAGUGGAGACACUCAGACAGCGUGGAGGAUGAGAUUCUGCUGGAAAUAAUUCAUCCAACAGCUUCAGUUCUUUACUUUCUUCGACCAACAUUUCUCUGUCGGUGGUCUCUCGGUCCAGAAUGGCGUCCCUCCUCAGUGAGACCACUCCUUGUCUGUUAAUGUCAAAGGUGUCGUUGGCAUACAGGAAGUGACCGUUGGAGAAUCCACCCUGAAGAAGAAAAGACUCAAUCAGUGAAUCCCAGUCCCAUUUUUAAUGAGAACUGAAGGAUAUUUAAAGACUACAGGACAAAAUCUCCUCCUGUCAUGGCUGACGGACUGGAAACUCUACAAGUUUGAUCCCGACCAAUCACUGCAUGCUGUCAGAAAAAAAGAAGGAGUUUAAACUGACCUCAUCCCUGUCUGUGACCUCCAG